rnacentral:rRNA from 1 species
GCCAGUGACUACAGCACGUUGAAUCUUUCAGUUCCCGGAGGAUCACUAAAUUAGGCAACGUUGGGCGUGGUUGGUACUCGGAUGGGUGACCAUCUGGGCAAUCACGUGUGGCUGGCU